GAGAGUAGACUCUCACCUAUUUACAGUUUAGUAUUUGGAGAUUUUUUCAUAAAGCAUAUGUAAAAUACAGCUGAAAUACCUCAACGCAAUGCUACUUGACAUGCUACUGGCUAUCAUUGAAGCAGCCAAUCCAGGAAUGCCAAUUAUUUUCCUUGCUGCUUUUUGGCUGAACUUUCAAGAGCGGAGAUAAGGAAGAGCGUAGAUGUUAGCUAACAGAUUUUCAUAGCAACUUUUCACAACUAGAAUGAAUCAAGCAAAAUUUUCCAAACUUGGAAUCGUAGGUAAAAUCUGAGUCUUAAAUUAUUUAAUUUUUCCACAUAUUCUUACCUAUAAACGAAGAGAGGUGCAUAUAAACAGAUUUAGUUUGAACAUUUAAUCUUUCAUGGUUGCAAUAAGGGAUCUCUUACAUAAAUCACAUCCAGACUGUAGAGUAUUUCUUCACUCAGAAAUGUGAAUGCGUGGUUUGGAUGUGAUAUAAACCUCGUUGGAGCAGAACCAGAGUUGGAGCCGUUCUAAUCGAUGCACCUCUAUCAGGGAGGUGACAGCUGUUGUGUGGAGUGAAAAUGCUAAGUCUGCAGGUGGUUAAUCACUGUUAUAUCACAAGUGGCUGAAGCGUUCAUUUUCAGUCCUUUCAGUUUUAUCUGCCUGUUGUUAUAGGAAAAAUCAGACACAAAUCAACGUAGCAGUAACACGAUAAGACUAAUUACAGCGCUAACAAGAGACGUUCAAGCAGUGAUGGAGUCAUUAGCAAGUAACAUUUGCACAUAAACACAAAUCAAGAUUAAAUCACAUUGUUUUAAGUUCAAAAACAUUAGUCAGUGCCUCUAACGAUAAAAAUGAAAAUUAUUGAAGUGGGGAGAAUUAUGAUU